UAGUCGAUAACCAACGACGUCGGUGUCC
rnacentral:sRNA from 1 species